rnacentral:rRNA from 1 species
UACGGAGGGGGGCUAGCGUUGUUCGGAAUUACUGGGCGUAAAGCGUACGUAGGCGGCUUUGUAAGUUAGAGGUGAAAGCCUGAUGCUCAACAUCAGAAUUGCCUUUAAGACUGCAUCGCUUGAAUCGUGGAGAGGUAAGUGGAAUUCCGAGUGUAGAGGUGAAAUUCGUAGAUAUUCGGAAGAACACCAGUGGCGAAGGCGGCUUACUGGACACGUAUUGACGCUGAGGUACGAAAGCGUGGGGAGCAAACAGG